rnacentral:rRNA from 1 species
AUUGAACGCUGGCGGCAUGCCUUACACAUGCAAGUCGAACGGCAGCACGGGGGCAACCCUGGUGGCGAGUGGCGAACGGGUGAGUAAUACAUCGGAACGUGCCCAGUAGUGGGGGAUAGCUCGGCGAAAGCCGGAUUAAUACCGCAUACGACCUACGGGUGAAAGCGGGGGAUCGCAAGACCUCGCGCUAUUGGAGCGGC